GCGCGGGUGGCGGAAUGGCAGACGCGCUAGCUUGAGGUGCUAGUCCUCGAAAGGGGGUGGGGGUUCAAGUCCCCCUUCGCGCA
rnacentral:tRNA from 1 species